CCUACGGGAGGCAGCAGUGGGGAAUAUUGGACAAUGGGCGAAAGCCUGAUCCAGCCAUGCCGCGUGUGUGAAGAAGGCCUUCGGGUUGUAAAGCACUUUCAGUGGGGAAGAAAGCCUUGGGGCUAAUACCCUCGAGGAAGGACAUCACCCACAGAAGAAGCACCGGCUAACUCCGUGCCAGCAGCCGCGGUAAUACGGAGGGUGCGAGCGUUAAUCGGAAUUACUGGGCGUAAAGCGCGCGUAGGCGGUCUGAUAAGCCGGUUGUGAAAGCCCCGGGCUCAACCUGGGAACGGCAUCCGGAACUGUCAGGCUAGAGUGCAGGAGAGGAAGGUAGAAUUCCCGGUGUAGCGGUGAAAUGCGUAGAGCUCGGGAGGAAUACCAGUGGCGAAGGCGGCCUUCUGGACUGACACUGACGCUGAGGUGCGAAAGCGUGGGUAGCAAACAGGAUUAGAUACCCUAGUAGUC
rnacentral:rRNA from 1 species